AGGCGAGCGGCGGAACAUGUAAGGGCACAUCCCGCGAGCUGCCGCCCAGCGCGCAGACAGAGCCCAGGGGAGCAAGAGAACGGGCGGGCGGUGGGGCUCACGGCCUAGGGAGGCGCGGAGGCAUCUGGCAGAGGCGGGUCGGGCUGGGCCAGCUGGGGUAGAGCGGAGGAGCGGGUGCCGGCUGAAGCGGGGCGGUGGGCGCGGAGCGCGCUGGGGGCACCGACACCACCUCACCGGCAGCCGGGUGCUGAGGGCCGCGGUGUGGGUGCGCGGAGCAGUCAGGGCGCAGGUGGGCAGCGCGCACGGCCUGCCAGCCCGGGGCGCCAGAAUCCUGCGCUGCGGGGCCGAGAGGGGCGCCGCGCCCGCCGCAGCCUGGAGCUUUCCGCGAACCUCGGGGCGCCCAUGACGGCGGCGGCGACGGCUACCGUGCUCAAGGAGGGCGUGCUGGAGAAGCGCAGCGGCGGGCUGCUGCAGCUGUGGAAGCGGAAGCGCUGCGUCCUCACCGAACGCGGGCUGCAGCUCUUCGAGGCCAAGGGCACGGGCGGCCGGCCCAAGGAGCUCAGCUUCGCCCGCAUCAAGGCCGUGGAGUGCGUGGAGAGCACCGGGCGCCACAUCUACUUCACGCUGGUGACCGAAGGGGGCGGCGAGAUCGACUUCCGCUGCCCCCUGGAAGAUCCCGGCUGGAACGCCCAGAUCACCCUAGGCCUGGUCAAGUUCAAGAACCAGCAGGCCAUCCAGACAGUGCGGGCCCGGCAGAGCCUCGGGACCGGGACCCUCGUGUCCUAAACCACCGGGCGCACCAUCUUUCCUUCAUGCUACCCACCACCUCAGUGCUGAGGUCAAGGCUGGAGUACAGUCGUGUGAUCUUGGCUCAUUGCAACCUCUACCUCCUGGGCUCAAGCAAAUCUCCUGCUUCAGCUUCCAGAACAGCUGGGAUUACAGCUUCGUUGUUCCCUCUGGCUUGUGGGGGCACGGCUGUGCUCCAUGUGGCAAGGUGGAAGGCAUGGACGUGUGGAGGAGGCGCUGGAGCUGAAGGAAUGGACGAGCCCUGGGAGGAGGGCAGAAGGCUACGCAGGGCUGAGGAUGAAGAUGCAGCCCCUGGAUGGUCCCAGACUCUCAGGACAUGCCCAGCUCAGGGGCUUCGAGCCACAGGCCUGGCCUCAUAUGGCAUGAGGGGGAGCUGGCAUAGGAGCCCCCUCCCUGCUGUGGUCCUGCCCUCUGUCCUGCAGACUGCUCUUAGCCCCCUGGCUUUGUGCCAGGCCUGGAGGAGGGCAGUCCCCCAUGGGGUGCCGAGCCAACGCCUCAGGAAUCAGGAGGCCAGCCUGGUACCAAAAGGAGUACCCAGGGCCUGGUACCCAGGCCCACUCCAGAAUGGCCUCUGGACUCACCUUGAGAAGGGGGAGCUGCUGGGCCUAAAGCCCACUCCUGGGGGUCUCCUGCUGCUUAGGUCCUUUUGGGACCCCCACCCAUCCAGGCCCUUUCUUUGCACACUUCUUCCCCCACCUCUACGCAUCUUCCCCCCACUGCGGUGUUCGGCCUGAAGGUGGUGGGGGUGAGGGGGGGUUUGGCCAUUAGCAUUUCAUGUCUUUCCCCAAAUGAAGAUGCCCUGCAAAGGGCAGUAACCACACAGUUUGCUGAGUGAAAUUCUUUGCCCACAAAGACCCAGGGCUUGGAGCAUCUCUCUCUUUAUCCUUAAUCUCCCAAUUUGCAACCCAUUCUGAAGUCUCCAGCCUGGAUAGGCAGAGACACUAAAACCCCAGUAGACAGGGCCUUGGUGGUCCUAGGAAGGAGGGCCCAUAGAUUCUGGACCGAGGGAUGUCAAGCUGGUCAGUUCAGUCCCUAUGAAUGUCUCUUCUACAGGAGGCUACCCUGCCCCUGCUACCCUGGGAGAAGCCUCAGCUUUCUGGGCAGAGUUUGUCUCCCUGUCAUUUAUACUCUCAGGCUUUAUACAUUUACACAGUAAGUUCUCCCUCCUGGAGGGUUAAAAGGAAUAAUUUCAACAGGGUGAAGGCCUGGCACGGUGGCUCACAACUGUAAUCCAAGGACUUUGGGAGGCUGAGGUGGGUGGAUCACCUGAGGUCAGGAAUUUGAGACCAGCCUGGCCAACUUGGUGAAACCCUGUCUCUACUAAAAACAAAAAUUAGCCAGGUGAGGUGGCACACACCUAUAGCCCCAGCUACUGGGGGAGGCUGAGGCAGGAGAAUUGCUUGAACCUGGGAGGCAGAGGUUACAGUGAGCUGAGAUGGCACCACUGCACUCCAGCCUAGGUGACAAAGCAGCAAGACGCAGUCUCAAAACAACAACAACAAAAAAAACGGGAAAACAGGUACAGACAAUAGCUGCCUGGAGUUGUACAGAAACUUGAUUGGGUAACCCUGGACCUUUCCAGGCUGUGGCCAGCAGUUGACCCUGCCUGCCUUUCCUCCAUUGUUUUCCCAUGUCUGACCUUCCCUGUUGCAAAGCAGUGGCCUACUACAGGGUCUCUCUGGAGGGAGCAAGGAGGCUCAGUGGCCCCAUUCAGCAAUUCGAAGUCCCUUUAAUUGUUUUGUGCUUCCAACCUGUUUUGUUCCCGUUCAGAUUUCUCUCGCCUUCCAAUAAAAACUUCCCUGUCCUGUGCCCCAGUCCCUCAGAGUCCACAAGAGGUUCAACUUGCUCAUCUGAUGUGUGAAUUACAUCACACAGUUGAAUGAGAAUUUGUUAAUUACAACAGAACUUUUAUAAAUAUGUCACUUACUGUAUCCAAUUGUACAAUUGUCCAUGGGUGGCUUAAUCCCACCAUGGCAAAUAAGCGUCUGUUUAUGCAACCCUAAUCAGUGCUGAGAAAGAUCAGAGCUCAACUAGAA